GACGAACGCUGGCGGCGUGCUUAACACAUGCAAGUCGAACGGAAAGGCCCUGCUUUUGUGGGGUGCUCGAGUGGCGAACGGGUGAGUAACACGUGAGUAACCUGCCCUUGACUUUGGGAUAACUUCAGGAAACUGGGGCUAAUACCGGAUAGGAGCUCCUGCUGCAUGGUGGGGGUUGGAAAGUUUCGGCGGUUGGGGAUGGACUCGCGGCUUAUCAGCUUGUUGGUGGGGUAGUGGCUUACCAAGGCUUUGACGGGUAGCCGGCCUGAGAGGUUGACCGGCCACAUUGGGACUGAGAUACGGACCAGACUCCUACGGGAGGCAGCAGGGGGGAAUAUUGCACAAUGGGCGGAAGUCUGAUGCAGCAACGCCGCGUGCGGGAUGACGGCCUUCGGGUUGUAAACCGCUGUCGCCUGUGACGAAGCGGGAGUGACGGUAAUGGGUAAAGAAGCACCGGCUAACUACGUG
rnacentral:rRNA from 1 species